GACGAACGCUGGCGGCGUGCUUAACACGUGCAAGUCGAACGAGAAAGCACCUUCGGGUGUGAGUACAGUGGCGAACGGGUGAGUAACACGUGGGCAACCUGCCCUGGAGACUGGGAUAACGUCCCGAAAGGGACGCUAAUACCGGAUGAUGCGCGACCUGCCAAGUAGGUCGCGCCAAAUGGUAGCUUCGGCUUCUACUCUGGGAUGGGCCCGCGCCGGAUUAGCUUGUUGGUGGGGUAAUGGCCUACCAAGGCGACGAUCCGUAGCUGGUCUGAGAGGACGAUCAGCCACACUGGGACUGAGACACGGCCCAGACUCCUACGGGAGGCAGCAGUGGGGAAUCUUGCGCAAUGGGCGAAAGCCUGACGCAGCAACGCCGCGUGAGCGAAGACGGCCUUCGGGUUGUAAAGCUCUGUCAGGAGGGACGAAGCCACUCAGGUGAAUAGCCGAGAGGGUGACGGUACCUCCAGAGGAAGCCCCGGCUAACUACGUGCCAGCCGUCGCGGUAAGAC
rnacentral:rRNA from 1 species